GGAUUGCCUCAGUAACGGCGAGUGAAGCGGCAACAGCUCAAAUUUGAAAUCUGGCCGCAAGGUCCGAGUUGUAAUUUGUAGAGGAUGCUUUUGGCAAGGUGACUUCCGAGUUCCCUGGAACGGGACGCCAUAGAGGGUGAGAGCCCCGUACGGUCGUGCCACCGAGCCUCUGUAAAGCUCCUUCGACGAGUCGAGUAGUUUGGGAAUGCUGCUCUAAAUGGGAGGUGUACGUCUUCUAAAGCUAAAUACCGGCCAGAGACCGAUAGCGCACAAGUAGAGUGAUCGAAAGAUGAAAAGCACUUUGAAAAGAGGGUUAAAAAGUACGUGAAAUUGUUGAAAGGGAAGCAUUCAUGACCAGACUUGGGCUUGGUUGAACAUCCGGCGUUCUCGCCGGUGCACUCUGCCAGCUCAGGCCAGCAUCAGUUUGCCCCGGGGGACAAAGGCGGCGGGAAUGUGGCUCUCUACGGGGAGUGUUAUAGCCCGUCGUGUAAUGCCCUGGGGUGGACUGAGGUUCGCGCUUCGGCACGGAUGCUGGCGUAAUGGUCAUCAAUGACCCGUCUUGAAACACGGACCAAGGAGUCGUCUUCGUAUGCGAGUGUUCGGGUGUCAAACCCCUACGCGUAAUGAAAGUGAACGUAGGUGAGAGCUUCGGCGCAUCACCGACCGAUCCUGAUGUUCUCGGAUGGAUUUGAGUAAGAGCAUACGGGGCCGGACCCGAAAGAAGGUGAACUAUGCCUGUAUAGGGUGAAGCCAGAGGAAACUCUGGUGGAGGCUCGCAGCGGUUCUGACGUGCAAAUCGAUCGUCAAAUAUGGGCAUGGGGGCGAAAGACUAAUCGAACCUUCUAGUAGCUGGUUUCCGCCGAU
rnacentral:rRNA from 1 species